rnacentral:rRNA from 1 species
GUGCAGCAGUCGAGAAUCCUCCGCAAUGCGGGAAACCGCGACGGGGGGACCCCGAGUGCCGUGGCAACGCCACGACUUUUCCGGAGUGUAAAAAGCUCCGGGAAUAAGGGCUGGGCAAGGCCGGUGGCAGCCGCCGCGGUAAUACCGGCGGCCCGAGUGGUGGCCGCUAUUAUUGGGCCUAAAGCGUCCGUAGCCGGGCCCGUAAGUCCCUGGCGAAAUCCCACGGCUCGACCGUGGGGCUUGCUGGGGAUACUGCGGGUCUUGGGACCGGGAGAGGCGGGGGGUACCCCUGGGGUAGGGGUGAAAUCCUAUAAUCCCAGGGGGACCGCCAGUGGCGAAGGCGCCCCGCUGGAACGGGUCCGACGGUGAGGGACGAAGGCCAGGGGAGCAAACCGGGAUUAGAUACCCUGUAGU